rnacentral:rRNA from 1 species
CACUGUUAACGGUGGAUCACUUGGCUCGUACGUCGAUGAAAAACGAGGCGAGACUCGAAAGUUUAUGUGAAUUGCAGCCACGUUGAACAUAGAAAUUUUGAACGCACAUUGUGGUGUUGAGUUGUUUUGCUGUGCUGUUGUUCUGUGAUUGUCA